rnacentral:lncRNA from 1 species
AAAACUCUCUCUUUGGUUCAGUUGGAUUUUCUAAAGACGAUGAAGUAAUUUCUACUGCUACCAAGGUAACCUCACUUUGAAAAUUUCUUAUUUUGGUAUCAAGAAAUUCAUUUAUAUGUAAAUUUUGCUGCUAUUCUCAGUACAGUAACCCUGAAAUCAAGAUUUGACAUGUGAAAGGUGUAAUCUUUAGAUUCUAAUGUGAUGCUUAAAUUAGAUUUUAUUAGACAAGUACUUAUUUGUGACAGAAAAUGUGGUUAAAGCUAGAGUGAAAUGCCCUCAAAUGUGCCGCCUGGGCAGUGGUCGAAGUCUGGUAUUUAAGUCUAGAAGGGUAGAGGGAUAGGCCUAUGUUCCACCUAGUUUGGAACUAUGUGCCUAUUGACUUUUGGGAAUUCUCAGUUUUCAUCCUAUGAUACCAAAAUAAUCAAACUCAGUAACUUUUUUGCUGCUAUUCUCAGUACAGUAACCCUGAAAUCAAGAUUUGACUUGUGAAAGGUGUUAUUUUAGAUUCUAAUGUGAUGCCUAAAUUAGAUUUUCUUUGACAAGUAUUAAAUGGUUAUAGAAAAUGUGGUUAAAGCUAGAGUGCAAUGAAUGUGCCCCCUGUGCUUUGGCAGUGGUCAAAGUCUGGUAUUUUAGUCGAGUUGGGUAGAGGGAUGGACCAAUUUUCCACGGAGUUUGGAACUAUGCGCCUAUUGACCUUUGGGAAUUCUCAGUUUUUAAGGAAAAAAAUACUGAAAUGUUUUCAUCCUACGAUACCAAAGAAACAAACUCAUUAUAUUUUUUGAGCCAAAAGAGUGCUGAAAAUAUUGAGUGUAAAGGAGGUGAACAAGAAAAGAAGCUAUAUGGUUGACAAUCAGAUUUAUACAGGAUUUACCUUGCCUUUCUGUACUAUAUGUAUGAAUAAUCCAAGUAAGAGUGAUAAAAUGUUGUGUUUGUGACUUCCUUAACAUAGCGUUAGAAUUCGCCUUUUCAUUUGUUAUGAUGUUAGAACACAACCUUCCUGGUUCACCGCUUGGUCAUUAUCAAAUUAAAAUGUGAGCAACUGUUCUAAAGCUGGAGUCUUUGUUGUGGAACCUAGGACCCUUUAUUGCUUUGUCUCAAUUGUUGUAAUAUAUUGGAAUACUCAGCUUUUCUUGGCUACUUCUACGCAUAGACGUUUAAGUGGUGUAUAAUUUGUUUAAAUGCUUUCACAACUUGGCCUUUGCUAUUACUUCUUUUUUAAGAAAAAGUGGCAUGGUAAUUUUAAAAAUAUCAGAAUGCCAAGGAGGUACGUAAAGAGUACAAAAAGUAUGACUUGUGUAAAUCUACAUAAUAAAGUAGUCUAACAAGUCCAUAAACUCUGUCCAGUUAGUUACAAAAAUCAUUUUGUACCAACAUAAUAAAUUCUGAUGCAUAUAUAUUUGACAAAAAAUCUAGGGAAAAAAAAAGCUUUUAUUUUUUUUUUUCAUUCUCAAAAAAAAUAAAAAUAUAAGCUUUUUUUCCCUAAAAUAUAUCUUCUAUUCCUUAGAAGCCACACUUUCCAAAAGAUGCAUAGAGGAAUGAAUUUACAUACUUUAUCUUCAGCUUCUUGUUGACAUUUUGUGUCUGCCAGACUUCAAGUAAAUCAUUCAAAGCAAACUAUGUUGAGUUAGUUAUACUAAUUUCCUCUAGAUUAGAAAAAGUCCUCUAAUUGAAUAUAUUAGUAGAACCAUACCAACAAUAAGUUGAUAAGUAACACUGUUGAAAGUAUUGAGAAUAUUUAAACUUUACUUUUUCGAUAACCGAGAAACCCUCAGGGUCUAGUUGUGCACCGUUUGAACUACGUGGAUAGUGAGCCUGCCAGUGCCUUCCAUUGUCCCCCUUUUUUGUUUUCUCUUUUCUUCUUGUUUUGUGUGUUCUAUUGCUUUUGUUAUUACCAAGAACUAUUUUAACAUUUACUGUUCAUGUCUUAGAAUAUAUAGUUCCAAUAUUACUUUUUUAUAAAAGAAGAAUAGCACUAGAAAUUCUUAGACAGACUACAAAUGUAAAAGAAAAAUAUAUAAGAGAAUAGAAAGUCAAAUUAUCCGAAAUUCACUUUGAGUUCUCUGUUGUGGAAUAAUAUUUAAUACACUCAUUGUAAUUUCACAACUUUAAAUGAUUUGUUUUUAGUAAUAUUUGCCUGUUAUUUAAAUACUCCUUGUAACACGUUGACUUAAAAUGCUUCUUAUUUCAGUAAACAGAAGAGUUUAAAAGUAAAAGAAAGGGAGGUUAAUUUUUUGUAAGUAAUACGAUACUUUGUUGUUUAACACUGUAAUUCAUGUGGGGGUCCCUUGUAAAACAAUGGUUUGGGAUUGAGACUUUAAUGUUGGAGGUCUCAAGUUCGAAACCCCUUGCCAGCGAAAGCAAGGGGUUUGCCUUCUGGGUCGAGCUCGUCGCACCAGGCUUGCCUAGUGCGGGUUACCUCUCCUAUGUGGUUUGCGAGCUAUUGCAUAGGAGCGGGGGUUUUACCCUGUGCGCACCCAAAGGGUAGCGGCUGCGGGUUUUCCUUGUCAUUGUGAGUAAGCCAUCGAUGUUCUUGAACUGCCAUGUAUGCCUUAUGCUUCAUCACUUUGUAAUGCAAUUUUUACAUUUUUAACAAAUGUGUAUUGCACGUCUUCAUUUUAAAUGUUUCAUCAAUUAUGUGUUCAGAAUUUUUUUCCAAUGGUUUCAGUUUCCCUUUGAAUAAACUAUAUAUAUUAUUAUUUUUUGAUUGGUAUAAAUUCUGUAGCAUUUAUUGCUCAUGAAACAUUUCUUGUUGUGAAGUUUGAUCUCCCGUAAAUAUGGUUCAAGGAGAUACAUGUUGGUUCUCUCCAAGUAAAAAGUGAUGUUCGAAUACAUUAUCCCUUGUUUCAUGGUCUAAAACAGUUUGUUUAUAUUAUAUUAUUGUCAUUGUCAUUUAUCAAUGUUUGUGCAAUGUUGUCUAAUGAAACUGUGCUUCUUAAAUAUUUUAAGUUUUGGUACAUUGGCAUUUGGCAGCUUCUUUUCAUUAGUGGAUCAUGGUCUCAGUUUUGCUAUUCAACAAAUGCGACCGUUCACUCUCAGAACCCUCUCUUGUCGAACUACCUCAUCAAAUCACUGGGAUUCUCCAGAUAUGAAGCAAAUGCUGCAGCUGCCAAGUUGAACAGCGUGAAAGCACCUAAGAAUCCUGAUUUGGUAAUCAAAUUCUUCCAAGAGAUGGGUUUAGAACGGACAGAGAUCAAGAAAUUAGUUUCUGUUACACCGAGACUGCUUUUUUCUGAUAUAAACAGAACCCUUAAACCCAAGUUUCAGUGUCUGCAAGAAGUGAGGGUAUCUGGAUCUGACCUAGUUGAUCUCUUCCUAGCAGACGGGAAAGCUUUGUAUAAUGCAGUAGGUUCUCAUUUCAGGUCUAAUUUGGAUUUUCUUAGGAAACUAGUUAGUAAUGAGGAAAGUUUGGUUAAACUUAUAAAGAGGUCACCUUAUUUACUUGCUGUCAAUGGUCCAAAAAGAUUUGAACCCAAAAUAUUGUUGUUGCAAAAAUUUGGUUUUUCAAAUGCCCAAAUCGAGAAACUUAUACUUCAGAAACCACGUAUACUUCUGCAAAAAUUCGAGUGGCUAGAGGAGAUAUUGCACAAAGCUGAAAAGGAUUUACAGAUUUCUCCCACAUCUGGAAUGUUCAUGUACGGAGUUCUUGCAGUUAUCGCACUAGGUAAGUCAACUGUGGAAAACAAAAUGGCAGUUUUCAGGAGUUGUGGAUGGUGUGAUCAGGAUAUAAUGACUGUGUUCAGAAAGCAACCCCUCUGUUUGGCUAUGUCAGAAGCUAGAGUUCUGCGAGCAUUGGACGUUUUCACGAGGGUACUCGGAUGCAAACCAGAAUACUUGAUUAGUAAUCCUGCACUUCUAAUGCUUAGCCUGGACAAGAGAGUGAUUCCUAGAAAUCAAGUACUGAAAGUUUUAAAGGAGAAGAAGCUGAAUCAGAAAGUAUCUUUUUCUCGAGCUAUGUAUAUAUCUGAACCUAUGUUUCGUUCAGAAUUCGUGCUUCCUUACAAGGAUGAGAUACCUAAUCUGUAUGAGUCAUAUGUGACAUGUGUGAGACGUUAGAGUCAUGAUGAUCAGUCAAAUGAGGUGCGAUUUUCAUCUUUAUGGUUCAUACUCAUGAUCUUUCAGUCAAAUGAAUUUUGUUUCUUCAGGUCUUUCCUGUUUUGUAUUGAAGUUACAACUAUUAGUUCCCCUGCAGUGUGGUAAUUUCAUUUUCUCUGUCCAUCCUGCUUAUAUGUGUUGAUCCUUUUGAGUUCCGGACUAAGCAUGAAUUGAACAAUCUUGUUCUCGCUAUAUAUGACUCAUUGAAUCUUCUGGUUAUUGUUUGCUCUGCGUUUUUUCUAAACUUUUCUUCUGGGCAGAGUGCUUGUUUAUGGACUCUACCUAGACUGCAGAUUCAACAACUAGUUGCAGCAUGUAAAGAGGUUUAUUGUAGCAACUGAGUCUGCAUUACUCUUAGUUGAAGAUGGAGUUGCACAAUUAUUUUGCCUUACAAGAUUUAGCAACAGCUAGGUAAUAGAGGGACACAGAUUCUUUAAGUUCCUUUUUGGCUUCACACCUUGUGUCCGGUUCCUACAUUGGGUUCUGACUAAAUCUGUAUUUGUGUCGGGAAUGCUAGAAUAAUAUUGCACUCAAUACAUUGAGAUGGCAUUAGGAUUUGUUUGGGAUAAAUUCUCAUGUAUAACCUAAUGGUUGAAGAGCACCACAUCUAAUAUACUUUAAUACUUGAAAAUUGUGACAGUUGUAGACAUUUUAUAACCUUCUAAGAUGAAAGAGACUCAUGUAAUUUAUUAUUUUUCUAGAAAGUGUAAAUAUAUUUGUUUAAUUAAGAACAAAACAUUUUUAUUAUUUAUUUUGAGCUUGUUUUUUAGCCUGAAAAAA